rnacentral:rRNA from 1 species
GAAUUCGGUCCCAAGGGUUUGGCUGUUCGCCAAUUAAAGCGGUACGCGAGCUGGGUUCAGAACGUCGUGAGACAGUUCGGUCCCUAUCUGUCGUGGGCGCAGGAUAUUUGAGAGGAGCUGUCCCUAGUACGAGAGGACCGGGAUGGACGUACCUCUGGUGCACCAGUUGUCGUGCCAACGGCACAGCUGGGCAGCUAAGUACGGAUCGGAUAAACGCUGAAGGCAUCUAAGCGUGAAGCCGACCUCAAGAUAAGAUAUGCCACUGAGUAAUCAGGUAAGACCCCUUGAAGACUACAAGGUUGAUAGGCCGCAUGUGGAAGCGUCGUGAGGCGUGCAGCAAGGCGGUACUAAUCGGUCGAGGGCUUGACCAG